rnacentral:rRNA from 1 species
GAUGAACGCUGGCGGCGUGCCUAAUACAUGCCAGUCGAGCGAACAGACGAGGAGCUUGCUCCUCUGACGUUGGCGGCGGACGGGUGAGUAACACGUGGAUAACCUACCUAUAAGACUGGGAUAACUUCGGGAAACCGGAGCUAAUACCGGAUAAUAUAUUGAACAGCAUGGUUCAAUAGUGAAAGACGGUUUUGCUGUCACUUAUAGAUGGAUCCGCGCCGCAUUAGCUAGUUGGUAAGGUAACGGCUUACCAAGGCAACGAUGCGUAGCCGACCUGAGAGGGUGAUCGGCCACACUGGAACUGCGACACGGUCCAGACUCCUACGGGAGGCAGCAGUAGGGAAUCUUCCGCAAUGGGCGAAAGCCUGACGGAGCAACGCCGCGUGAGUGAUGAAGGUCUUCGGAUCGUAAAACUCUGUUAUUAGGGAAGAACAAAUGUGUAAGUAACUAUGCACGUCUUGACGGUACCUAAUCAGAAAGCCACGGCUAACUACGUG